ensembl:snoRNA
AUCCUUCUGUGGUUAAUAAGCAUGAUGAUUGGGUUGACACACAAUUGUGUGACAUGUGCUGCCCUCUGAACCUUGUUACAAUGUCGGCACUUUACCUUUCUGAUG